UGGGGAAUAUUGCACAAUGGGCGAAAGCCUGAUGCAGCCAUACCGCGUGGGUGAAGAAGGCCUUAGGGUUGUAAAGCCCUUUCAGCAGGGAAGAAAGGUACAGGGUUAAUAACCCCGUAAUUUGACGGUACCUGAAUAAGAAGCACCGGCUAACUCCGUGCCAGCAGCCGCGGUAAUACGGAGGGUGCAAGCGUUAAUCGGAAUCACUGGGCGUAAAGCGCGCGUAGGCGGUCUGGUCAGUCAGAUGUGAAAGCCCCGGGCUCAACCUGGGAACUGCAUUUGAUACUGCUGGACUAGAGUGUGGUAGAGGGAAGUGGAAUUCCGCGUGUAGCGGUGAAAUGCGUAGAGAUGCGGAGGAACAUCAGUGGCGAAGGCGACUUCCUGGACCAACACUGACGCUGAGGUGCGAAAGCGUGGGGAGCAAACAGG
rnacentral:rRNA from 1 species